rnacentral:rRNA from 1 species
UACAGAGGGUGCAAGCGUUGUUCGGAAUUACUGGGCGUAAAGCGCGUGUAGGUGGCGAUGUAAGUCGGGUGUGAAAUCCCUCAGCUUAACUGAGGAAGUGCACUCGAUACUGUGUCGCUUGAGUGUUGGAGGGGAUGGCGGAAUUCCCGGUGUAGAGGUGAAAUUCGUAGAUAUCAGGAGGAACACCAGUGGCGAAGGCGGCUUCCUGGACACCAACUGACGCUGAGACGCGAAAGCGUGGGGAGCAAACAGG